UGCUGGGAUUGCAGGUGUGAGCCACUGUGCCCAGCCUCAGACUUCCUUUUCUUGUUUGUUCAGAGAUAAAAAGGGAAAGCCGAGAUGCAUUUUUCUACCUUAUCAAUUCUUAGGCAGUUUAUCAUUUUGUAAUUAAUUAGACAGCAAAGCGCAAAUACAAUUUUAAAAAUAUAUCGAAGAUAUUCGUACUCUAAAAGUAUUUUGAAGUCUGCUUGUGACUAAACUUCAUUGAAUCUAGGUCAGGGUGACACACUCAAAUGCCCACAAGGACUGUGCAAGAAAAACAACUGAGCAAGUUUGACAUUCGAUGACUUCUGGAACUCUCGGUGUGAGAGGUGCAAUGGGGAGUGCUGGAGACUGUGGAAAACGAAGGGAUUAGCUGUGUCUAAAGGGGAAGUCACUUCUCAACUUCAACAUAGUGUUUGGUUUUGUUUUAUUUCAGGAAGAGGCCAGAAUUUUGUAUUUUCAUUUGAAGUCUCUUAAUCCAUACUUGUUGAUCUAUAGUUCAGGAGUAUGUGGGUCAAGAAAAACUGGUUGUGGGCAACGUUUGGCUCUCAGGUUGCCAGUCUGAGAUACCUUAUCAAUAGCAAUAUGUAUUCAUUGCAGAAAAUUAAGAAAAUGCUGAAAUUGAGAGAAGGAAAAUUGCCUGUAAUCUUAGCUCCUAUAAUAACUAUUGAUGGCUUCAUAUAUAUCCAUCUAGUCCUUUUUCCUAUGCAUAUGUACUUAAAUACUUCACAAAAUUGGAAUCAUAGCAUAAAUACUACAUUACAAUCUGCUUUUUCCACUAACACGUCUUGGACAUUUCCACAUAUCAAUAAAAUAAUCUGCCA